UCCUGCCGCUCAUUUCGGAGCGAUUUUUCUGAAUUUAUUUCCAGUUAAAAGUUGCGGCUGUACUUGGUGCGUCAGCGCUCAAACUUGAGCACAAAGCAGGAGGGAGAGGGAGAGAGACAUAGAGAGACCGAGGCAGCGGGAGAGAGAGAGAGAGAGAGCGAGAGGAGCGGUCCCCUUUUCCUUUGUCUGAUGCGGGGCUCUUUGAGGAGAGAACUUGAGGGGAUGCUCAGACACGCAUCUCCACAACGCGCAAUAACGCUCAACUUGUGCAAAUUAGAAUGAAGUGACAGCGCGCUUUCAUGGAGGUGGAAUUUGGACACAGAUUAACCAGCAAAGCAAUUCCUCCUGCGCGAGGCCGAGGGAAUAAAAAUAUGUGGAAAUCACACGGAAGAUGUACAGAGUCACCUAUCAAGCGACUUUUAAGACGAAGACGAGGAUUAAGAGACUGUGCGGUUUUCUUUUGGAGAAGGUGAAGACUUAUCUCAUAAGGAUUUAGACUUCAGCAGCAGCAGUGCCAGUCGGAUUGGCACACUUGGAAAUCUAAACUCAUGGAGACACUUUGAGGAUUAUAAAAAAUGUGUAGUAAGUCUCUCUACAAGACAUGUCCCGGGCCAAAGUCCCCCGGAUAGCAGGAUAUUGCAUUUCUGAUCCUCCUCGACCUUCGCAUGGGGAGCGUGGGAGUGGUGAGGUCUGGGAGAUCACGACCUUAAUUCUCUCCAAGACAGACAGUUUAAUUAACACUAGAGGAAUCCUCACCAACUCCAGACCUCCACAUUGAGAGUGUACAGGGGAAUUGGAUUGCCCAGGUCCUCUUGGCCAUUUAGUAGACUGAGAUGCUGACAGACGAUGCCCAUGAAUGAUGAAUGAUGACUGGAGGUCUGUCCGGUGCCAACAGAAUGCAUAAUACAGCGCAGAUACAGCAUUUCCAGUUCCCCUCACCAGGAACAUGGUGCUGCUCCUGUAUCAUAUUAUUGCAAGAUUUGCCCUCAGCCGGACAGCAGGAGCACUUAAAGUGGAAAUCAGCUGCAAAACCGCCUUCAGGAAUGUUGUUUUCUACUUGGAAUCCUAAAUGAAGGAGCUUUAUAAAGGAUUGGCUGGCCUCCUUCAUUGUCGUCCACAUCGCACGAAGACCACCUCACAGGGAUUUUCCUCUUCACCAGUUGAUGCUGUUGCAGUCACCGUUCUACCAGAGCACAUGGCAGGUCUCCAAUUGUGCUCUCCGUCUGCAGUAUUUGUCUGUUCGGGGCAGAUCUACAAAGAAUCCUGCAUGAAAAUGGAAGAUGAAGAGGACAACAGCUUGCUGGAGACAAAAAGAAAACAAGGAGAAAGACGAAACCUGUCGGUGUUUUUGAGAAUCUGUAACCGCUAAAUUAUGCAUAUUUCUCUCAUAUAAGGUGACUUCUAAUUGUUCCUCGUCGUGAGGAAAGUAUUUGACUUUGGGGAUAAUGGCAGCAUCUGGUGAGUCUAAAUUAGAAUCUGAGGUUGUGCUUUCACAUCAGUCAGGUACACAGUCGCCAUAUUUCACAACUGCCUCUGCCUGAAAAGAAGUUUGACAUUAAAUAUGGACUGAUAUAAUUUUUUAUGAGUUGUACAGUAAGUUUAUGUUCUUUUUUGACAAUGAUAUGUUUGUAAUAGCCUCUGUAAUGCCAACCAGUUUAUUAUAACCGCAUGAUGCAGGGACACUGCCAUGGAGUUUGCAUGUUCUUUUACGGAGCUUUUACCUUGUAGAUUUUCAUGUAUGUGGAUUUGAGAAAACACACAUUUGGAACAAUGUAUCUGGUGCAACUACAAGUGUGAUACAAUUACAUUUUCAUGUACGUGCAUUGUGUGCCUUGAGAAACAGUGAUCGUAACUUCAUCACAGGGGAACAAAGAUGAUAUUAAGGGCAUGUACUCAUACAAUAUACAAAACUCUGAGGAGAAAUAUACUCGACUGGAGCGCUCUCCUGACAAUAUAUGUGAAGAGUUCCACUUUUAUCAUCACAACAUAAAUUCUUAAUGAAUAUUGUAUUGUUCUGUGAAAAAUCUAGGUAAUAUAAUGUUGGAUAAAGGAUUUUAAUGGUUACUCAACAGACUCAUGAAAACAUGGAACUACACUUGUCAGAGGACAGUAUAAAAGCAGUGUGGGAAUAGUGAAGCUGCUGAGGGUGUCUGCAGCAUCAAGAGGAAAGAGUUCCUUUCUCCUCCAGACCUGCGUGUUGAAGCUCUUUAAAUAGCUCAGAGAGGAGAAGCUUUCUGCAGUGUGCUGUGAUAAUAAUGGUAGAGACUUUAUAUGAAAAGUGUCUUACUUCUGGCCACAAGGUCUGAGGUGUGUAAAUCAUCCCUGAAGCCUCGUUUUACAAUACAUUUGUGUUUAGCUUCUUUAUUUUCACGCCUGACCUGUAAUUACAGAACCCACCUUAUAGUAAGUCAUCUACAAUUAUGUGGUUUGCUUUUAUUGACUUCACAGUCCAUAAAGACUUUUUUUUUUGUAAUUAAACAAGUUUGUAGUGUCUGUAUUUGCAUUUAAUAUUUAAUCUGGUUACCUGCUAGCUGGAAAAGCCUUGGACAAUUGCUUUAACAGGGCAUUAUCUAACAUUUAUAGCUUCAAUAAAACCCCAAAACUAUUGGGUUAUUCCUCUGGGAGCCACGCAUGUCUGCAGCGAAGUUCAUGGCAAUCCAUUCAAACCUUGACAAUUUGAUUUAAGUCUGGACCAAAGUGGUGGACUGACCGAGCAGUUCUGUCCCUUGAGCACCUCUGCUGGCAUGGCUAAUUAACAGCUUUAAAUGCUGGGGCCAGUCGUAUAUAAUUUGCCAUUUAGGAAAACACUCAGAAAAGAAUGUUUUCUUUAUAUAAUAAAGCACAUUUCAAGCCAGAAAACUAAGGAAGAAGGGUUGGAGCUGUCACAUAUCAGUUUAGAGGCCUCCCUAUCUGCCUCCCUCCAUCUCUGUCUGUGGUUACUGCACAUUAAACCCAGCUCCAGUGGUCAGAGAGCCCUUCCGAUAUUUUCCAUGAGCAGUUUAUCGCACUUCCUUUCCCUUUGCUAGGCCCCCAGUCAGUCUGUAGGCAGGAAAAUCAAAGACUUUGGGACAUAUCAUUACAGUGCAAAUGGUAUAUUUCACAGUACAGCAUGCUAAUGAGACUUUUCAAAACCGAAAUGUCUCAGUAUAAAACAGAAAAGGGAAAUGAAAAGAGCUUUCACAAGAGAUGUAAAGGUUUGAGAUACACAUUAGAUUGAAAAUUCAAGCCAAGCUGAAAAUGACCCUGAGUACAGAAUAACAGGCUAAAUGAUUUCACUUCA